UUCACGCCCUCGCACGGCGGAGCGCGCAGGCGUGAUUACACGGGCCUGGCGCCUGAAAGAGGCAGACGGACAGCGCGCUGCGGCGGUUCGCGGGCCUGGUGAACGCUGUGCGGGACGGGCUUGGCGCUUGCAGCUCCUCCUGUCAGGGACAGGGUGGCAGGGUGAUGGCUGAAGGUGGAGCAUGCAGUUCAGUGAACCACAAACGAAAGGACUAAGAUCCACGUGGGGCAGAAGUGCAUUGUAAGUUCCUCUGAAAUUAAGCUUUUGAAUAUAUUUGGAAGGAUACACAAGGAACCGUGGUUGCCUCUGGGGAGAAGUGAAUGGGGUAUAAGGGUUGGUCAGGAGCGGUCUUAUCUGAGGCUCAGACAGGCAGGAUCUGCACCCACGCUCACCCGUGUGGCCUCUGGCAGAAUUAGGUCCUCACCGGCUCUGGGUUGGAGGCUGCUCUAAGUUCACUGCCCCGGGAGCCACUCGGCAGGGCAGCUGGCUUCCACCACUCAGCUGUGCCCCGCAGCACCUGGCAGCCUGGGUUCAGUAAUCGAUGCCUAGUUAUCCUGACGUUGAGGUGAGUUCCCAUUGUAAACAUGUGUCUGUACGCCUUCCUGUUGCCAGCAAUAUUAAGGUGGAAACUGGGCUGCAUCCUUUCCCUGUUCUACACCCUUCAGUGGCUUCCAUCCCAAACUCCUGUCAGUGCCUGACCGCCGUGCCAGUUACCCAAGCUCAUGUCACGCUGUGGCAUUCCUUACCUGCCCCACUGGACUUCCCUGAGUGCGCCCGGUUCUCUCCUGACUCUGCCUGGAUAACUCUCACCUACCCGACAGGCCUCGGCUUAAUUACUACUUCUUCGGAUCCCUGGGUUUCUUCUUCCACCGCAGCCAGUACAGCACACGCUACAGACCAAAAUCAUUUCCUGAUCCUGCUGGCUUCUACUGAUUUAUCCGGCAAAGGGAAGCGUGAGUCUUGUAAUUACUGCGAGGAACACGGCUACUACAGACCUCACGUCACACUCUACCUGGUCCUGUGGGAAUGAAGGGAGACGAC